AGAUGCUUUCAGAUCUGUUCCUGGACCAUAUAUGUUGGAGUUUACCUGCCAUACCAAAAUCAGUGCAGCAACUGAAGAAAUAACUAAACCCAAGUACAUCUACAACCUAACUCCAUUCAGCAAACUUCCAGAGUUCAUUAACGACAAAAAAAAUUCCAUGAUAUCUUGGGCAUACUCACAGAGAUAAAUGAACCGCAAUGGAUUCCAUUCUCAAAUCAAUCCAAACCUAGUCUGCGUCGUGAUAUCAAGCUGAAAGAUGAAAUCGGUGAAGAGAUCAAGCUAGUUCUUUGGGGCUCCAAAGCAACACAAUUUGAUAUUCCAGAAGACACAACUUCAGAAGACAAACCAAUCAUAAUAUUAUUCACUGGAUGCCUUGUCAAACUUUACCGUGGUGAACUUAAUGUCAGUGGCUACUCAGCUUGCCAUUGGUACAUAAAUCCUGAUAUACCAGAAGCAGCACAUCUAUUAAAUAGGUAGAAACAAACAAAUAACUUCUUUAUAUGCACCUACUACUUAACAUUUAUUAAUUCUUAUUUCUACAACAAAUGUUUCUUAUAAAAUUUGUUUGCACAUAUAUCCAACA